GAUUAACUUAUUUUUUCCUUUUUCGACAUGGUUUGUAUGUUUAUACGUCCUUGGGUUUAUAUGAAGUGCUUGCCUCUCAUCAGACAGCCUCGUUCUCACUAUGGUGUUCUCGUUGCUAAGUGAAGAAAUGGGAAGCGGGCUGGGGGACACCCAGGCUGUGGCGAGGCUGUCCGGUCUCAGGUGGAGGAGCAGAACAAGCACAAAAGGACCAGCAUACGUUCCCCUGAAGGAAAGGCUUCAAAAAGAAAGGCUUAUUUCUGGAAUACAUGUGAUGAAAACCCAUCCAUCCGUCAUUUGCCGCUUGUCCAGAGCCAGCUCGUUGGGGCAGCAGUCUAAGCAGGGAUGCCCAGACCUUCCUCGCUCCAGCCAUCUAUUCCAGCUCCUCUGGGGAAAUACCAAGGCGUUCCCAGGUCAGGUCAGGUUGGGGAGGAUGCGCUGAUGCAGCAUGUUGCUACACCAACCACACGGCGAAACUCCUCGGGAUCCUGGCCAGCGAUCCCCCAGGCAGCCAUACAGUGCAGUCCCACCCUCCAGAAAUGGCCAUCCAUCUGCCUCAGCCAGGUAUUACGUGGGCGUCCCCUUGGCCUGGUCCAGCCACUUGGGUCCUCAGCAGUGAGGACCCUGUGAGCCGGAUCACCCUCAGGGAAUCGCGCCACAUGGCCAUAGUGCCGUAACUGACGCUCCCUCACAAUGCAGGUAAUGUGCCUCAUGUGACUCCUCUAGCAACCGCUCAUUCGACACAAAGUCAAGCCAGCUGUACCCAAGGAUUCAGAGAAACUGUACCAAAGGAGUCCAGACUUCAUCUCAGCUCACUGGAUGCAGUGACCAGUCAAAAAAAUAUUUUAAAACUGACAAUAUUUAUAGUUAGUAGUAGUAAGUGACCCCUUUUUUUAGAAGCAGAUGACCAAAAUGAGCAGAUGAAACAAACACGUUAAGAGUCUUUUAACUCUGAAAGUCAACGUAUUGCCCCUCAUUCCCUAUGCCAUACAACACUUGAACCACAAUUAUACCAAAUUCUGCAAGUGUUUUACACUAGUGUCACCACUAGUGACAAUUAGAUAUAUAUCAAUAUAGGAGGAGUAUAAUUUUCCCAGCAAGAACAGCAAAGGGAUGCUCCGAUGACAAGAAGGUGUAAAAACAAUGUUCCGUCAACACAUUGUCCUUUUGUGUAGCAAUGUUUACAUCAACUUAGUUUAUGACCAGAGUAAUGUGAGCCCGUACAUGCCCGUGGUUGUCAUGGCAGCGUAUUGGAGGUCACCUGCCGCAGCGCAAUGUCUAUAAUGUCGAGUCUGACAGCUCUUUGCCGACUCGCCUAGUGCACUAGCCCAUUAAUUUAAUCUGGAGUGAAUUGAGCGCUGGCUGUGGAGUGUGCUUGUGUGUGCUUGUGUGUGCUUGCUUGUUUACCUCCCAUAGGACUCCAUUGCGACAGCACAUUCGAAGUUAAUGUUCACAUCCAACUGCAAAACAGUUCGUUUUGCAGCCAAAUACAAUAAGAAAGUUAUUUUCCUCCCCUCAAGAUUGUAAUGAGCUGGCAGCAUCUACAAACUCAAAUCUCAUGACAAUUUUGAAAAAAAAAGCCUUUCGUCCAUAAUGUGCAGUACUUUGUGCGAAAUUACGUUGCCCUCUCCAGUAAUUAUUUUGUGUAAUAAUGACCGAAGCAUAAAUCCUCUAUUUGUAUAGAAUGAUGUCUUUUUCAGGAUAGGGUGCCUUCUUGCAGAAAAGAGGUGAGUGUGCAUCAGGAAAGCUAAGAGCUAUGCUGUCUCUCAGGGUUAUCCAUGAGAAACUGGUCUUAGCAGAGAGGCCAGACAAAAAGUGCCGCUUAUGUUGGACGCUAGCAGUAUAGGGCCAUGUUGGCGGCAGUGACAAUGGCAAAGAAAAUAUUUCAAACUGUGCCAAAGAUGACAAAGGGAAACCACUUCCAUCCUUUCACAAGGACUUGUUUGAAUGCGGGCGGCGUGUAACUUGGCUUGUUAAAACGCUUUACCUGUGAUCAGAUCAUGGGUUUGAAUCUUGUAGUUGGUUGAGUGACUUCUUUGCUGGAUUUUUAAGAAAAGCCCUUAACCCUGAUUUCUCACAAGCAUAUGUUGCAUUAGAUAAAAGCAUCUGGUAAAUGUAAGACUCAUGCCCAAAGAUAUGCUAGAAAGUAUGAUUCACCUGUGAUUUCUUGGUGAACAGCUGGUGUUUUUGACAUGGUCAUAUCAAAGCCCUUUGAACCUUCAGCUGCCAAUGCUGGUGUGCAGGGAAAGAAAAUCUGAAGAUUCAAAAGCAGGAUCAGCACUGGAGUGUAGAAUGCAUGGAGUUUGCGGCAUGAAAGACCAAGAACCAAGACAUAUCAUAGCUGAUGCACAAUGGGAAAUGGAAAAGGUCAGGAAGAUCAGGAAGAGUUGAACUCUGGUGAAAUCAUUACAACGGUUGCCAGGAGUUUACAUCAAUUUGAGGAUUCUUAAUACUGUUACUACUAAUACUACUGCUAAUAAUGGUUAUGAUGAUGAUGAUGAUGAUGAUGAUGAGGAAGGUGAUGAUGAUCCUGAUGAUAAUGUUGAUUUUUUUUCCAGACACUGGUGUUUCAUUGCAUUUUAAGGUAUCACUCUAUUGGUUGUUAUAUAAUCUGAGUAUAUCUCAUUAAGAACGUAAUGCUUGUUUUCUUAAAUAUAUUGACAAAAUAUACUACUUUUUGUUUUUAGUGAACUUUUGUUAUAAAGUAUAUAUUGCAUAGGAGGUGAACAUAUUAUUGUAAACUUUCACCAUGGGACAUUUACUAAGGGAUUAUCUUAUUUUGACAGGGACCUGUUUGUAACAAAAUCAAAUGUGUCCAAAGCAUUAUAUUUUGUAUGACAAAAAUUGCAUUUCUGUAUGUACUAUAUACAUGUUACAUGCAGUUUGUGCAGGUAAUUUCAGUAACUUAAUGUAACUUAACAUUUUAUAUUGCAACUUAAUUAUUUUAUUUUAGUCUUCUGUUGUUCUAUGGGUCGACAUA